AAUGCGUUUGACUUGACCAUAUUGAUUUCAGGCAGGUGAGAGUGGAUGUAGCGAUUCAGCUUGACAAAUAUUUAGAUCAGUUAAGUGUCCUUUAGAAUCACUUGAACUCAAUGUUUCCUUUCCCCGACCAUCUCACUCAGCAACCUACCUCUCUAGCAUAAAAUAUUCAAAUUCUUUCUAAAUUUCAUCUACUGAAAAAAUACUUCUAGGCCCUGGCUACAUGAUAUCUCCACUGGGAGCCCUGUCCUUUCCUUACCCUGAGAAAACCAGAGCUAAAGUAGAUUUAAAUGACUCAGCAGUAGGACUCAGGUCUUGUCUCUGCCUGCUUACUUAGGGAGUGCUCCAGCCUUUGGGCUGUCUUGCACUCCAACAUAGGAAGGAAAUCAUCGACGGCUCCAUUCCCUGGCGUUUGAGACUUUUCUUCCCACAGACACAUUCCUGAGGACAUCAGUCAUGGGUAAAGAACUCCACUGGGGUCAGAGUUGGAUCCCACAAGGCAGAUUAGGACUUGUAAGUGGAGUGGUACAGACUUGGUGUUCCCAGAGCCUCUCACUCAUGAUUCAUGGCUCUCCACCCCAAGCAUCAGGACUUGCUCAACUUCACCACAGAAGGAAACAGACUGUAAGCUUGGAGGGCCGGGGAGGAAACCGGAGGCACGUGUAGGAGGAAGAGAGAUACUGAUGGGCCACCGAGGUUGGCUCAGUUGGAAUACCAGCCAUGUGGCAUGUCUCAUGGGGCAAGAGCUGUGCCGCCCAUGGGAGCCCAGAGGAGCAUACUGAGGACCAACACCAGGGAGACCUUGCCCAAACACGAGUCUAAAGAAGAUGACCAAAAAAGGGGUGCAGAUCUAGUAGUUUACAAGUGGUGCCAAGAUACGAGAGAAGACAGCUGUCUGCAAACCGGAAAGAUGGUUCUCACCAUACUUCAUAUCUGCCAAUGGAUCCUUGCUGUUGAACCUCCCAAUCUUCAGAAUCAUGAGAAAUAAACAUUGUGUAAGCCACCCAGUCUACAGUAAUUUGUUCUAGCAGCCCGAGCUGACUAAGAUACGGUGUCAUUGCAUAACCACUUUUAACCUUAGUCUUUCUAUCUGUAAAGUAAAUGGGUUAGAGAAAUCAUUCCAGAAAAUGUUUCUGCUUAAAAAAAAUUCUUCUGUUUCCUUACCAAUGUGAAGUUUGGGUGGCCCUGUUGUAAAUGACUCCAUUUGAUUUUGAUUUUGAAUUUAUUCUCUUUCUUCCCACUUUCAUCUCAGGUACUUAGUGCCUGUAUGUGCUUUUGAUCACAGCCUCAGAAAAUAGAACAGUGUGUGGCAUUGCAAGGUGGGGCCUUUGCUUAGGAGCUUUGAAAACAGAAGUAAUUUUCUUGUACACAUGUUGACAGUUUAAGCCUAAGUUCUUUAAGUUUUAGUCUGUAUUAUUAUUGGUUUCAAACAUUUAAUGUAUGGAUUACUCCUUUGGUUCCUGCAUUCCUGCUUUCAUAGCCAUAUUGACUUGUUAAAUAAUGAAAAUUAGCUGAGCAGUGGCCUUAGAAUGAGAGUCUUCAAGGGCUAAAAUGUGUAGAGUUUGAUCACAUCCCCACCCUGCUUUCUUGUGGGACCCUCGGGGUAAGGUAGCUGGCAUUUGGUUGACAUGGUCCAGGUGUUGAAUAGAUGUCCAUGCUUUCCUUUUCUUCAAGAAUGAGGAAGCCACCUUCAGAUGCUAAAGUCAGAUUCUGUAUAAAUAGCUGAGAUAUUACAUCUGAGCAACCUUGGAGGAAUAGUAUUCACCCUACCUUUAGUUUUCUGCUAAUGUUAUUCAACAUUCUUUUCCCACUUUUCCCACUUUGGUCUCUUUCUUCUUCUCCCUUUUGGCAGUUGCAUUGGCUUUCUUUUCUAAUCUAGAAAUGAUGAUAGGGAUGGUGGCAGCAAACACCAGAGAAGAGUCAGCGGCAGUGGGAGGAGGGGAGGGGGAGGCUAUACUUUGACAAGGAAUAAAACAGAAGCCUAACUGUGAGGCCAUCAAUUCACCCCCUGAGUGUGAGCAGCAGAUGAUUGCUUGAGAUUAUCUGGGAAGACAUUCACCUUUUAGAGCGGGGUUGCAAACUGGCAGACCAGCAGUGAAAUUUAGCCGCAAACAUAAUCGUUUAGCCAGCAAAGUGUUUGGAAUAUAUUUUACAAAGAUCCACAGGUCUUACUACUCCUAAUGUCUUGUUCUGGAUACUACACACACUCAUACAUACUUCCUGUUCCUUUGUGGGGAGUUUUCUUUUACAAUCUAGAGUCUGAUCUCAGAUAAAACCUCUUCUCCCAACAAAAGAAGAUCCAUGCCAACUCAUCAUCAGCUCACUUUUUCUCCAUCUUUAGUUUGGGUCAUAUCAAAAAAUUUGAUAACUG